CAGGGAACCAACAGCUAAACCAGCUUGGAUUAUCCAACUCUGAAAAAGUACACGCAAUACAAAGAGGGCAAACAUGCCGGAACUGUGGCAGAAGCCACGAACCGCGUCAGUGCCCUGCAUUGAAUGAUGAAUCCUCUGCAUGUGGGGCAAAAGGGCACUGGGCAAGGUGCUGUAGAAAGAACAAACGACAAUCAAAGCAAAACUUCAGCACAAGAAGAACUAUCAUACCAAAAUGACCAACGAAGGCGAAGGACAACUCUGGGGUGGUGACUGGUCUGUCUAGUUACUGGACCAGAUGAAAUGAGACGGAGAGGUUAUUUUGCCCAACAACUGCGUGUGCAGUACUGCACAACAUUUGCGUUGGUGUGGGCGAUGACCUCCCAGUGGAGGAUGGGGCCCUGGAGGGAGAUGACCCUCCUCUUGAAGGAGAAUGUGGCACGGAGUCACAGAGUGGAGCUCCUUGGCGUGCGGCACUGGCCAAUGCCAUUACCCCUCUUGAAGUGGCUCCACAGGACCACGACUACUUUGUUCUGCCUGUGACCGGACCAAGACAUACAUUUUAACAUACAUUUUUUUUAUAUUAUUUAAUCACUUUUAUCCAUUAUGAAUGUGUUUUUUGUUGUGGUUGAUCGAAUCCUCUUUAUUUAAAAAAAUCAAUUACAUUUUUGUAAAACUAAGUGAAAUUGUCUGAGAACUUAAUUUAUGCAUCACAUUUACAGUAUGGUUGAUUAUUAAUUAUGCAGGGGGAAAAAAGACAAAGAAAGUGUUGAUAAACAUGUAUUUAUUUUUAUAGAUAACUGAUUGGAUCUCAUUCAUACAUACAUACAUACAUACAUACAUACAUACAUACAUACAUACAUACAUACAUACAUACAUACAUACAUACAUACAUACACACACACACAUACCAUCGUUCAUUCAUUCACGCCUCUCAACCAAACGAUCAAGGAGAGAGAAAAAACGGUCAAACCGCUCUCUUGACUCCACCUCUCUCCUCUCAUCCGCCUGCCGCUGAUAAAGAAUAUCCUCCCUCACCAG
ensembl:lncRNA